rnacentral:lncRNA from 1 species
CUGGGGGGAGCAAAGGGCCGCCAACUGAGGGAGUAUUUCUCUUUGCUUGCCCUACAGGCAAAAGCAUCUCGCCCGGCAGCAGCCUGAACAGCAGCGAGGAGGAUCUCAGAGCUGGUGGGGCUUCUUCACAGACUCCUUCCUCCACGGCUAAGCUCGGAGACACCCGCGAACUGGAAGCGUUCAUUGCAGACCUGGACCAAAUCCUGACAGAAAUGUGACCAGCUUCGCUCUUCAAGACGAAAAUCUGCCUGCUGACGUCUUGCUGAAUGGAACCAGCCUUUUUUUCCCUGGGAGAAGCCCCCCACCCAAACUCCUGACACAUCAGCUAUGACUGCCCCGAAAGCCAGCCUACCUCGCAACUGGCUUCUCCGCAGGGAAGGGAUCGCAACUGUUUCCCAAUACUCUGUUGGUCUAGAAUAGAAGUCAAAGCAGAAAUCCAGGAAGUCUGGAUCCCAAAGGUGUUCUGCCAGUGGAUUUAUUUUUGAAAUUCCAUUUUGAGGAGAAAGCCGGAUUGCUUUUUGAAACCUGACGGGGACUGUUGAUACGGAGGGGAAAACCUAGGUAGGGGGAUGUCCCUUCGGUUGCUUGCCUGCUGAGGGAGACCUUCAAUGGGUUCGAAGGGGGCUUGGUCAGAGGGGCUGCAUCUCUUUCUGCCUGGAGCUCCUGAAGGA